rnacentral:rRNA from 1 species
AUUGAACGCUGGCGGCAUGCCUUACACAUGCAAGUCGAACGGCAGCACGGGAGCAAUCCUGGUGGCGAGUGGCGAACGGGUGAGUAAUGUAUCGGAACGUGCCCAGUCGUGGGGGAUAACGUAGCGAAAGCUACGCUAAUACCGCAUACGAUCUGUGGAUGAAAGCGGGGGACCGUAAGGCCUCGCGCGAUUGGAGCGGCCGAGAUCAGAUUAGGUAGUUGGGGGGGUAAAGGCCUACCAAGCGGACGAUCUGUAGCUGGUCUGAGAGGACGACCAGCCACACUGGGACUGAGACACGGCCCAGACUCCUACGGGAGGCAGCAGUGGGGAAUUUUGGACAAUGGGCGCAAGCCUGAUCCAGCAAUGCCGCGUGCAGGACGAAGGCCUUCGGGUUGUAAACUGCUUUUGUACGGAGCGAAAAGGCUCUCUCUAAUACAGGGGGCUCAUGACGGUACCGUAAGAAUAAGCACCGGCUAACUACGUGCCAGCCGCCGCCGUAA